CCUACGGGUGGCUGCAGUGGGGAAUAUUGGACAAUGGGGGGAACCCUGAUCCAGCCAUGCCGCGUGUGUCAAGAAGGCCCUCGGGUUGUAAAGCACUUUCAGUGAGGAAGAACGCCUGGUGGUUAAUACCCAUCAGGAAAGACAUCACUCACAGAAGAAGCACCGGCUAACUCCGUGCCAGCAGCCGCGGUAAUACGGAGGGUGCGAGCGUUAAUCGGAAUUACUGGGCGUAAAGCGCGCGUAGGUGGCUUGAUAAGCCGGUUGUGAAAGCCCCGGGCUCAACCUGGGAACGGCAUCCGGAACUGUCAAGCUAGAGUGCAGGAGAGGAAGGUAGAAUUCCCGGUGUAGCGGUGAAAUGCGUAGAGAUCGGGAGGAAUACCAGUGGCGAAGGCGGCCUUCUGGACUGACACUGACACUGAGGUGCGAAAGCGUGGGUAGCAAACAGGAUUAGAUACCCGAGUAGUC
rnacentral:rRNA from 1 species